CAGUCUAGCUGCACUUCUCCCAGUAGCUCCUAUCACAGUUAUAGUCUUCCCCGAAGGCGGAGCCACCAUCUUAGUCACCACAGAAUGUUCAGCACAUGUGUCGAUCAUGAAAGAACUUCUCUUUCCCCCUAUUGCUACAUCGACCAUAGGCUCCGCUCAACCAAGUGGGAUGGAGCCCAGUCGGUAUCAAUAGUCUUCCAUGAUAGUGUCAGCCAGACCCACAAAAUCUCUAUCCUCUCUUUCUCUAGGUCUCUGCGUGGGUGGAUAGUAUCUGUCUCCUUGAACACUUCCUCUACUAUUCCCACCAUUCCCUCUAAAACUUCCUCUUCCUCUAUAACUACCACUAUAACCUCCUCGUACCCUUCUCACUCCUUGUCUACCACCUUCAUACUGCUCUCUCUGUGGACACUCACUCUUCCAAUGUCCCUCCUUUCUACAAUACGCACAUUAAUUCCUACGUAGAGGUCCCUUGCUCAGCCCAUUCUCGUCUCCUCUAUUUACUUCCCUGUCUUUCUACACUUGAGAUAGCUACCGCUAGCAUAUCUGCCUUUUUCCUCAUUUUACGUUCUUCCUCCGUCUCCCUAUUCAUAU